UUGGGACCAGCUACAUGUCUCAGUUUUCUCGGUCUGGAGAUAGAUUCGGUGGCAGGGGAAUGAUACCUACCAGCUGACAAGUUGACCGUGCUUCGGAGGGCGGUUCGUGAAGUGCAGAUGGCACGGAAGAUUACGCUGCGGGCGCUGCAAUCCUUGUUAGGUCACCUGAAUUUUGCUUGUCGGGUCGUACCAGUGGGACGGGUUUUUAGUAGAUUUCUCGCAAUGGCUACUUGUGGGAUCAGUUCUUUUUCCGAAUUACGGCAAUGAUGAGGGUGGAUCUUGAGGUUUAGGAUGUUUUCCUUAGAGAUUUUGUGCAAGUUAUUUUUCACCGGAGCCUAGGUCGGUGGAAGUCUGUAUGGUUCUGGUUGGAUGUUAGGCUGGGCCGUUUGGUUUAAAAGGGUGGUAGGUCCCUUUAAUUUGUAUUUGGUAAUAUGUACUUUUCGUUUGUAGGUUGGGUCGCCAGGUUGGGCCACUCAUACAUCCAUUGGGCGUGCCAGAGAGCCGGAGUUCGGCAACAAGGAAAACAAUUGGGCUCUCCACGGCACCUGGUUCAAUUAUGUUGGUUUGGUUAUAGGGGAUUCAGUUAGAGAGAAGUGUGUGGUGAGAUUUUUAGGAGGUUGGGUUCAGGACAAUCACCUGUUUUGUUAUUAAACUACGCAGGUGGGAAUGAUUUAGGGCAGGUGCCACAGAGGCUGCUGGUACAAAGUAUAAAGCAGGAUGUGGAAAGGUUGCGGUGUCUGGUCCCGGGCAAUAUUAUUAUUUGGUCAGAGAUUGUGCCUAGGUUACAUUGGAGGCUUGCCAGGGAUUGCAACCCAAUGGACUGGAAUCGGGUAUGUCGGACCUGAAAUUGGGUAAGUAAAUAAAGGGUUAUUUCACC